rnacentral:misc_RNA from 1 species
GUUCCACUAAGUGUAGAAUUCGGUAUUCCACUGUUUAGUCCAAAAUUGUGCAAUCAUAUAUGUAAGAGAUUAGUUUCCUCACAACUACUCCAAACAGAUUUAUUUGGAGAGCACCAUGAUGCAAUGCAAGAGUUAAGAAAGAAAUUGCGAGAUGUUUGUGCCGAGUAUCAGGCCACAGGUCCAACAGCGAAGUUCCUUUACCAGAAAGAACAGCCAAAGGAAUCACCCCGGCAUUUUAUGAACUAUGCGAGUGGAAGGUGGAACCCCAAUGUUGAUCCUUCUUCUCCUAUUUCUGGUGUCUCUAGCGAACACCACAGACUAAAACUUGCUCAUCGACAGCGAUCUCGAACAGAAGUUCUGAGUUUUGAUGGCAAUAUUCUAAGAUCAUAUGCUCUGACUCCUGUUUACGAGGCUGCCACCAGGCCAAUUGAGGAAUCUCCCUCAGUAACUACUGCUAAGGUUGAAAAAGAUGAUGCUGAGAAUAAAGAGGAGAUAUAUCCUGGUGUAAGCCUUCUAUUUGAUGGAUCUGAGCUGCGCCCAUUCGAGAUAGGUGCUUGUUUGCAGGCUCGUCAACCUGUGUCUUUAAUUGCAGAAGCGUCUGCAACAUCUGCUAUUUUUUCAGUCCAAUAGUGUUCAGGGAUAUAGUCAAUGUUCAUGUAAGAAAGAACUGCUCUAGUGACCAAUUUCUGAGAGUAUCACUGGCUACCGGACGUGCUUUGCUGCUGCUGGUUUGUUGGGUAGAUUGUCUGUCCUUGCAUUUUAUUUGAUCGCAACAUGGGAAGUUAUUGAGGUGGUGUUUUCUAUUUGCAAGAAUUGAUCGAUGCAGGUAUUAUGCUGAGGAAUUCUAUUAUUUUGUAGAAGAGAAAACCAUGUGUAUUCAUAGAUGUAGCUAUGCUCACAAACUAG